ensembl:ncRNA asRNA:CR45139 antisense RNA:CR45139
AAUUGAAGUUUGGUUAUAUACAAAGAACAACUGUGGAAAAAACUGUAAAUCAUUACUUUGAGUUUUAUUUAAAAUAAUUAAAAAAUAAUUGAAUACUGAAAUGAAUCGCAUUUGGCUUAAAUGGCAAAAUUUUCUUAUGGUAAAACGAAUUACAAUGAUUUGUUAAAUAGAAAAAUAAUGAAAUUAGAGUUCGCAUUCACACUAGCAGUGUAACGGGUAUUUGAUAGACGGGGAACUUGUCUAUAGUAUUCUCUCUUUUUUAUAUUUAAGGUUUAAGGAGAGGUACUCCGAUCAUUUUUGUAGAGUUUGUUAGCAAUGUUGCCGCGACGAUGCCUGCGUGUCUGCAUGUAACCGAACCCGUUCGCAUUAUCUUAGGCCGAGGCUAGGCGACCCGAGCAUGCAUGUUAGCAUUUAGAAUUAGAUUUAAGGCUACGAAAGCCACAUACGAUAAUUAACAAAACUAAAACCGAAAAUUGAAAGCGCCCAUAGGGGGACAGAGUGGGAACGAUAGCGACAGAAACUUCUGGAAGAAGUCCAAAACUCAGCGAAAAGUUUUGUGAAGCAAAAAGAAAGAAAAAGGUGUUUGGGAGCAGAAGCCAAUGAGUAAAGGCAAAUUUGUGAAUAAAUGUGCGACAAUUUCGCAGAAGAAAAUUUACUGAGAUACAGACCAUCGUGUGACGCCUUAUCCAGACCGGCCGAGACCAGGAGAAACGAAAGAAGGACAACUUGGAGGAGACACACGGCGGACCCGGAAUCCAAGUCAUCAAAGGAGGGAACGGCGAAAAGAAGAUGACAAGAAUUUGAAACGAGAAAGGCUGGAACAAAAAUGUGAUAUCAUGGGAAAUAAAUACAAUUAAAUCAUAAUAAUAUAUAUAUUGGAAAAAAUCUGGAAAACAAAAAAAUAAAACCCACGAUGCUCAGAAGGGCUUAUUUUCUUGAAGACCAUGUAAUCGUGAAUCGAGUCGUCCCAAGUAUUUAGUGUUCUGUGUUUUUUGUUUAUUUUUUUUUGUAUAUUUAAUAUUUUUAAUUUGUUUUUUGAUUUAUAAGUAAAAUAAAUAUUGUUUAAUUAUAUUUCAUAAA